rnacentral:rRNA from 1 species
CAAUAGCGUAUAUUAAAGUUGUUGCAGUUAAAAAGCUCGUAGUUGAAUUUUUGCUUGCCGCCGAUGUCGGAACUUCCGUACGUUCGGCGGCGUGCAUCCUUGGGUGGAACCUGUGUGGCAUUAGGUUGUCGUGCAGGGGAUGCUCAUCGUUUACUGUGAAAAAAUUAGAGUGUUCAAAGCAGGCUUACGCCGUUGAAUAUAUUAGCAUGGAAUAAUAAGAUAGGACCUUGGUACUAUCUUGUUGGUUUGCGCACCGAGGUAAUGAUUAACAGGGACAGUUGGGGGUAUUCGUAUUCCAUUGUCAGAGGUGAAAUUCUUGGAUUUCUGGAAGACGAACUACUGCGAAAGCAUUUACCAAGGAUGUUUUCAUUAA